rnacentral:rRNA from 1 species
CGGUGGAGCAUGUGGCUUAAUUCGAGGCUACGCGAAGAACCUUACCUAGACUUGACAUGUGCGAAGUAGAACCCGGAAACGGACGUAUUCAGCAAACAGGUGUGACGAGCGAAACCCUUACCCUUAGUUGCUACGGGGAUGUCAAGUCUCAUGGCCUUUACGUCUAGGCUGCAUACAUGGCGUGAACAAGGGACGCAAAAGCGCGAGCUCAAGCAUCCCAAAAAACACGCCCCAGUUCAGAUCGAGGUGCAACUCGCCCUCGUGAAGUUGGAAUCGCUAGUAAUCGAGGUCAGCAACACUGCGGUGAAUGUGUUCCUGAGCCUUGUACAUACCGCCGUCAAGCCACGAAAGAGAGGGACGUCCGAAGUCGCUGUAACAGGUGACGAAGCGGACUUCUUGAUUGGGACUAAGUCGUACAAGGU